CAGAACCACAGCGUCAUCGACUGACUCCAGUUAUUUACUUUUCAUUUCAUUUAAAGUCAUUUGGGCUUUUAAAGAACUAAAAUCAUUUCAUUACAGGCACUACAAGCUGCAGUGAUAAACUGAGUCCAGUAUUUUAAGGAUAAAAACAAACUUUCAGAUGAAUAAAGCUGUGAAUUAAAAGUGCAGUAACCAGGUUCCUCCAGCAGGGGGCGGAGCUUCCUCUGCGCUGCUUCACGAUCAAAGGAAGCGCUCGUGCGCUACUUCCUGUCUGUCACUUAAAAACAAACUUUCUGAGAACAAGCCAUAAAGUAAAACUAUUAAAAAUAUAUUAAAAUACAAAACAAUCACUGUUUCUGAUCAUAAUAAGUUAUAGGCUGCUUCUUCGGUAGUCAGACGGAACCGGGAGAGUUUUGGUUGUUUGGAGUUUCCGGUGGGAUUGUCUUUGAAAGCUGAAGAUGCUGUGAGAGUCGACCUGAUCCAUCAUCAGUUAGCAACACGACGUGUCUUUCUGUGGCUUCCAUCAUAAACCCAACCUGUAGACUCAGGAGACCCGGGCCUUGGUCCUCACAAGGUAAUAUAUUUAGGACAAAUGGGCGGUACAAGGUAACAAAUGGUAAAACACUCAACGCUUUAAAACUAAACAUUUGGAUUAAAACACCUCAAUAAAAAAGGAUAAAUUUCUGUUUGUUUUCUUAAAGAAGCUUCAUGUUUUAAUAGUAUUUAAAUAAUAAUUCUGUGAGCUGUUCCUCUCAUUAACCUGUUGGUGGUGCAGCUGUGGACCAAUAAUGAACUGGUUUCUUUCUGAGAUGAAGUUAAAAACUUCAGCUUUGAUUGUUUUUAUGAACUGAUCUGAGUUUAUUUAUGAGCUGAUCUGAGUUUAUUUAUGAGCUGAUCUGAGUUUAUUUAUGAACUGAUCUGAGUUUAUUUAUGAACUGAUCUGAGUUUAU